rnacentral:rRNA from 1 species
UAAUCUCGGCAUCGAGGAUGGAUGAAAGGUGGCCUCUACAUGUAAGCUAUCCUGAAGAGGGAUGGUCUAUUAGCUAGUGAGGGGUAACGGCCCACCAAGGCGAUGAUCAGUACCGGUCUGAGAGGAUGACGGCCACAUUGGGACUGAGACCGGCCCAGACUCUACGGGAGGCAGCAGUGGGGAAUCUUCCGCAAUGGCGAAAGUCUGACGGAGCAACGCCGCGUGAGUGAUGACGGCCUUCGGGUUGUAAAGCUCUGUUAAUCGGGACGAAAGGCCUUCUUGCGAAUAGUGAGAAGGAUUGACGGUACCGGAAUAGAAAGCCACGGCUAA